rnacentral:tRNA from 1 species
GCUGGAGUGGCGGAAUUGGUAUACGCGCCAGUCUUAGGAACUGGUUCCGAAAGGAUUAGGAGUUCGAGUCUCCUCUCCAGCA